GCCCAGGUGGCGGAAUUGGUAGACGCACUAGGUUCAGGUCGUAAGUUCGAGUCUUCUCCUGGGCACCA
rnacentral:tRNA from 1 species